UAGUAAUUAAAGCACUUCUCUCUCUUUCUUCAAUGAAAAGUAAUAAAAUAUAAAUUGAAGAGGGAGAAAUCAACUCUCCAAAUUUGAAGAGAGAGAAUCAUUUCUUAUUUGAAGAAUCUUAAUUGGAAUGUCUUUUAGAACCUUAAAUAUUGAGGUGGCUCUUCAAAUAAUUAAUAAAAUCUUAUUUGAAGAGUUUUUUGGUGAUGCUCUAAGGAAGUUUCGGGGAUACCCAAUUAAGUUAUGUUUAUUUCUUUUUUUUUUCUUUUUUUGAAAGCUAGGUAAAUUUAUUUUAGAAUUAAAAAAAAAACCUUUCUAUUUGUUUUUUUUUUUUUCUCUUUAUCGUGCACAUGGCUUUGCAAUUGUUGGUCAUAGUCCACGCCAAGCAAGUGUUGAACACGACGGGGGCGGGAAAAUUCCAAGUGAGAAAUUUAACAGCGUAUGAAGUAGUUCACGUCGCAUUAAAAAGAUUUUCCUAGAAAGUAACAUCUUUUUCCAGGAAAAUUUUGACCAGAGCGAUGGAGUCUUCGGUCUUCUACGAUCAAAAUUUUACUUCAUGUGGACCAAUUAAUUGGGGUUUUUUUUUUUUUAAGUCUUGGUCACGCGAUUGGAACGUUAUAACAUUUAUGACUACGACUAGAUUUCCCAUCGGAUUGUCGUUUUCAACUUAUGAUUUAUAAACGAUUUAUUCCCCGGCCAAAUUGAUAGAAUAUACGAUUGAAGAAGCUUUACUUAUAAGGUUGUGUAAGUAUUAAGUUGAAGACAUUGUGUUCAUGGCUGUGAUUACGGCAUUUUUAGGGUAUUAUACUCUACAAUUUGAACAUUAUAUAUAAUCGAGUUUUAUAAAUUUUUAUUGACUUUGUAAACUAUAUGUUUACGACCCCGAUUGGGUACUAUAUAGACCGUGUUUUUACAUUAUUUAAUUAUGGAACUUAUUUUAUUGGAUAAGGAUGAGCUGAAUUCUGCUUAGUAUUUGUUAGGUAAAGAGAGAUU
rnacentral:lncRNA from 1 species